rnacentral:lncRNA from 1 species
UCCCCGCCGCGACGGGCAGCUCAAAGUCGGCUUAGUUGUGCUCCGCGCCGCCGCCCGCUGCUCCGGCACCAUGUCCCUCUGCAGGGCCGCCUCGCAGGCGCUGGCCUCCCGCCUGAGCAGGGCUCCUGCCGCCGCCGGCCGCCUCAAGCAGCGUGCACCUCCUCGCCAGAUGUCAUCUGGGAGUGUUCCUGGCUCUUCUAGAGACAGCAUGAUGAUCUAUCUCCUUGCUGGUGUUGCUGCUUUUGGUGGUUUAUUUUAUGCCUACAGAGUAGUCAGUUCAUCCCGCAGCAAGUUUGUUGAACAUUCAAGUAUUCUUCGUGAGAGAACCGAGGGGCAGAACAGCAAUCCUUGGUCAAGGAAGGAAUCCUCUGUGUGCAUUUUCAAUAGAGUUAACACCCCUCUUCUGUCGCUAUAGGACAUGUGAAAGCACAACGCGAGCCACUUGCUAUUUUGCAAGACACAAGGGAAAUCUCUUUCCAAACCUGAGGAAGUUAAAUACAAACAAAGGACAAUCGUUUACCAUUAAGUACAUUGCAGCCUACCUUGGGAUGACUUUGUGCCUUCUAUUGUAAAGCCCCAAUUGUAAGGUGAUGGAGAAGAGGUGCAUGAAGUCACUGAAGCAGAGAAGGCCACGGAAAAAGCUGAUGCAGCAGCUGCUGUUGGACCUGCAGCACAGGAUGAGAGUGCUGGACCCAGAGUACAGGAUGAGACUUCUGGGGUAUCUCCAGAAGCUGGAGGGGAGAAUGACUUACUGCCUCCAGAAGUAUCCCAUGCUAUGGAGGAAGAACAGCAGGAAGCUGCUGCUAAUUCAGAAGCUGCUGCUAAUUUGGAACUUGCUGCUAAUUCAGAAGCUGCUGCAGUUCAAGUUUCUGAGGAGGAGAAGACAACUGAAGAAGUUGCUAAAGAGCCCUAAAGAGUGGACACCUUUGGAAAGUUUAAUGCAAAUAUUUGUGGCAAUCAACCAGCUGAUUCCGGUGUGAAACCUCAUACUCUUCCUUGAAGACAUAAAAGAAACUCUGCAGUUUGUCCCACCCACACAUUGGCCAUUAUGGCCAGUAUUCAGUGCUGCAAGAGAUGAUUUGCAUUGCCUAGAGAAAUGCUUCUGUGACUAACAACUCUGCUGUAGAGAGUAGCUUCCAGUCAAGCCACUCAGCAUGUCCUAAAUACAUGUGCUAAGAGAAGCAGUAGACUUAACUAAACCAUGCCAUAUGAACUCCUUCUAUGUCAUUGUUGUCCUGAUAUGUACAUUGAUUCCUUACUUUUGGUCCAAACUAUUGUGUGUAGUUAUACCUUUGUAACAUUCCAUGCUAAAAUGUAAACAAAAGGUUUUAAAAUCAAGUCAAAAUAUUACAAAACUACAUGUUAGCAUUUUAAAAUUGGAUCACAGGGAAAAUAACAACGUGUUUGCUCCUGAGUUUGGAUUUGUGAUUGUAAGCAUAAGACAUCUGGCUGUGCAUGACCUAAUUUUCCCCCUGCAUAAAUAUUUCAGAUGAUACCACUCCUUGCACAGUAACAUCUAGGAGUAAACAUUUUAAGGCUCCUGCUUCGGGAAGAAAACCUGUUUGCAGGUAGUAGCCAUAGGUACUUUAUAAGUGGUGGCUGGCUCCUGCCUUGGGUGUGCUGGGCUCUGCUCCUCCCAAAUCUCGUUCAGCUUGCUGUGGUCUUUCUGUGUUGCUCUGUCUUGGCAGUGGCAUAUACUGGUAGUGUAACAACACAAAAGUUUGGUAGAAGCUUUCAAACUGGUACAAAUUACAAGCCCUUUAGGCCAUGGCAAAGCCUGUCUCUAACCACUUGCACACAGAGAGCAAAAUCCCUGUGAAGGGCUAUUCAACAGGUGUUCAAAUGGACAGGCAUUCUUAGGGACUAAGAAAGAACCAAACAGCUAAAUGGCCUUGUUUUCUCAGUAUUAGCUUCACAAAAAUUACAUUUAUUAUGAAUAACAGGUUUGAAUGCCACUGUGCUCCCAACCUUCAUGUGCUACAUGCAUGAGCAUGCAUCUGAGACCCCAUUUCAGCCAUCACAGAAUGGCAAUGAUUCUAAACCAGAGCCAAAUAAGGUAUAUUAUGUACUAUUUAUAUAGAAAGUGUGUUGCAUAAGGUGUGUCUGACUCUUUUCUCUUCAAGAAGAAGUUUGGAAAAUGUUGAAAGGGAAACGACAGCAUUAAUGACAUUCCUACCCACAGCACAAAGCAACACAUGCUCCUUCCCCCAUCAUAAAGCAAAUUAUAAUAGUGUUCCAACAAAGAUAUAGCCUGUUGCUCCUGGAUCUACUUAGGAAUAACUGGAAUAAUGCAAAGGCAAAAGCAGGCUCCUGAGCUUCAAGAAGACAAACCACAGCCUUCUGCUUAAAGGAUAAAGCCUCUGUGAUUAAAAGCAGUUUUUGUAGACCAAGCUACUGGAAUAAAAAUCUUAGAC